rnacentral:rRNA from 1 species
GAUGAACGCUGGCGGCGUGCUUAACACAUGCAAGUCGAGCGAAGCGAUUUUAAGGAAGCCUUCGGGUGGAAUUAAAAUUGACUUAGCGGCGGACGGGUGAGUAACGCGUGGGUAACCUGCCUCAUACAGGGGGAUAACAGUUAGAAAUGACUGCUAAUACCGCAUAAGCGCACAGUGCUGCAUAGCACAGUGUGAAAAACUCCGGUGGUAUGAGAUGGACCCGCGUCUGAUUAGGUAGUUGGUGAGGUAACGGCCCACAAAGCCGACGAUCAGUAGCCGACCUGAGAGGGUGACCGGCCACAUUGGGACUGAGACACGGCCCAAACUCCUACGGGAGGCAGCAGUGGGGAAUAUUGGACAAUGGGGGAAACCCUGAUCCAGCGACGCCGCGUGACUGAAGAAGUAUUUCGGUAUGUAAAGGUCUAUCAGCAGGGAAGAAAAUGACGGUACCUGUCUAAGAAGCCCCGGCUAACUACGUGCCAGCCGCCGCGGUAA